rnacentral:lncRNA from 1 species
AUGGCGGCGGAGCUCGCGGCCGGCAGGGACGCGCCACGGGGGCAUGGAGAGGGGCUGAGCAGCUCCCUCCGCCCCGCGCUCCGCUCCCUCCCCGGCUCCGCACAGCUCCGCGGUCAGCCCCAGGGGAGGGGUUGGAGGCAACGGCUGGCUGGCGGGCGGCCAGGACGCAGCCGGACGCCGCCUCCCCCUCCGCGAGCUCGCCGUGACGCCACGCCACAACUCACCUUCACCGAGCCCCCGGCCGCCAUCUUGCGCAAAGAGGGAGGGGGCGGCGCCGAGCGGCCCGGGGUUGGCUCUCCACGAGUAGGUACUGUCUUCGCCUUAUCUCGGAGCAUUCCUAUAAGCAUUAAAGACAAAGCCGGAGUUCUACGCUUAGCCGGUCCCAUCAUCGUCAGGAUGUCUCCGGCACACACGUCAAACAUCGCUAUCAUCCAGUCUCCUGUCCAUAUUUCACCCAGAUCACAGAGCAUAUUCCUGGAGACGCUCUGGUUUCUUUGACUUCCCCCCAAAGUUCCUCAGUUUGUCAACAGAGGAUGUGAGAAAACAGUACCAUGAAAUCCCUGGAGCAUCCUGUAUAGCAGUGAUGAGAAGCAGAAAAUAGUAAUUGGUCUUGGGUUUCCAGAAAUGAUAAAACAAGACCAAAAAUUCCAUCUGUAACUUAUUCCUAAUUUAUACAAUUUGAUACUGAGUUGAAGAGAUUUGUUUUCAAUUAAAAAGCAAAUAAUUUAAAGACUCAUUAUGGUUUAAAUUAAGUGUGGUCUUUUCAAUAUUCGUAAAUGAUUCUGAGAACAAAGUUGAGCGUGUUUUUGAAAAAAAGUGUUUUCUUUCCGAGGUACAUAUAUAUAGAUAGUACAUGUGUUUAGCUCUCCAAGCUAAACAUAGCUUUAAGUGAGUUAAAUGCUCUAUCAUUAUAUCUUAAUAAUGACUAUUUUCAUAUUUAUGGUAUUCUUGUUGCCACAAAUCUGUACAUGUGAGAACAUUUCAACAAAACAUGUAAACUUCCAUCUUGAGAAAUAUCAGUU